UACGUAGGGAGCAAGCGUUGUCCGGAAUCAUUGGGCGUAAAGCGCGCGUAGGCGGCCCGGUCAGUCCGUUGUGAAAGUCAAAGGCUCAACCUUUGAAUGCCGACGGAUACUGCCGGGCUAGAGUCCGGAAGAGGCGAGUGGAAUUCCUGGUGUAGCGGUGGAAUGCGCAGAUAUCAGGAGGAACACCUAUAGCGAAGGCAGCUCGCUGGGACGGUACUGACGCUGAGGCGCGAAAGCGUGGGGAGCGAACAGG
rnacentral:rRNA from 1 species